GUGCCAGCCGCCGCGGUAAUACCGACAGCACGAGUGAUGGCCGAUAUUAUUGGGCCUAAAGCGUCCGUAGCUGGCUGCGCAAGUCCGUCGGGAAAUCCACUCGCCCAACGAGUGGGCGUCCGACGGAAACUGCACAGCUUGGGACCGGAAGGCUCGAAGGGUACGUUCGGGGUAGGAGUGAAAUCCCAUAAUCCCGCACGGACCACCGAUGGCGAAAGCACUUCGAGAAAACGGAUCCGACAGUGAGGGACGAAAGCUCGGGUCUCAAACCGGAUUAGAAACCCUUGUAGUCC
rnacentral:rRNA from 1 species